rnacentral:misc_RNA from 1 species
GAGUUCACGCCCGAAAGGGUAGACCUCCCACCCUUGUGUAUUAUUACUUUGUUGCUUUGGCGAGCUGCCUUCGGGCCUUGUAUGUUCGCCAGAGAAUAUCAAAACUCUUUUUAUUAAUGUCGUCUGAGUACUAUAUAAUAGUUAAAACUUUCAACAACGGAUCUCUUUGCUCU